GUCAGUGUUGCUAAGUGGUUAAGCAUUGACCCAUGCACAGAAGGGUCGUGGGUUCAAUUCCCACUCAAGGACA
rnacentral:tRNA from 1 species